GACGAACGCUGGCGGCGUGCUUAACACAUGCAAGUCGAACGGGAAGGCCCUGCUUUUGUGGGGUGCUCGAGUGGCGAACGGGUGAGUAACACGUGAGUAACCUGCCCUUGACUUUGGGAUAACUUCAGGAAACUGGGGCUAAUACCGGAUAGGAGCUCCAGCUGCAUGGUCGGGGUUGGAAAGUUUCGGCGGUUGGGGAUGGACUCGCGGCUUAUCAGCUUGUUGGUGGGGUAGUGGCUUACCAAGGCUUUGACGGGUAGCCGGCCUGAGAGGGUGACCGGCCACAUUGGGACUGAGAUACGGCCCAGACUCCUACGGGAGGCAGCAGUGGGGAAUAUUGCACAAUGGGCGGAAGCCUGAUGCAGCAACGCCGCGUGCGGGAUGACGGCCUUCGGGUUGUAAACCGCUUUCGCCUGUGACGAAGCGUGAGUGACGGUAAUGGGUAAAGAAGCACCGGCUAACUACGUG
rnacentral:rRNA from 1 species